rnacentral:tRNA from 1 species
AAAUAUAAAUGUUUUUCUAGUAUAUAAGUAUAGCUGACUUCCAAUCAGCAGGACUGAACCAUUCAGGAAAGACA